GAUGAACGCUGGCGGCGUGCCUAAUACAUGCAAGUCGAGCGAACGGACGAGAAGCUUGCUUCUCUGAUGUUAGCGGCGGACGGGUGAGUAACACGUGGAUAACCUACCUAUAAGACUGGGAUAACUUCGGGAAACCGGAGCUAAUACCGGAUAAUAUUUUGAACCGCAUGGUUCAAAAGUGAAAGACGGUCUUGCUGUCACUUAUAGAUGGAUCCGCGCUGCAUUAGCUAGUUGGUAAGGUAACGGCCUACCAAGGCAACGAUGCAUAGCCGACCUGAGAGGGUGAUCGGCCACACUGGAACUGAGACACGGUCCAGACUCCUACGGGAGGCAGCAGUAGGGAAUCUUCCGCAAUGGGCGAAAGCCUGACGGAGCAACGCCGCGUGAGUGAUGAAGGUCUUCGGAUCGUAAAACUCUGUUAUUAGGGAAGAACAUAUGUGUAAGUAACUGUGCACAUCUUGACGGUACCUAAUCAGAAAGCCACGGCUAACUACGUGCCAGCAGCCGCGGUAAUACGUAGGUGGCAAGCGUUAUCCGGAAUUAUUGGGCGUAAAGCGCGCGUAGGCGGUUUUUUAAGUCUGAUGUGAAAGCCCACGGCUCAACCGUGGAGGGUCAUUGGAAACUGGAAAACUUGAGUGCAGAAGAGGAAAGUGGAAUUCCAUGUGUAGCGGUGAAAUGCGCAGAGAUAUGGAGGAACACCAGUGGCGAAGGCGACUUUCUGGUCUGUAACUGACGCUGAUGUGCGAAAGCGUGGGGAUCAAAUAGGAUUAGAUACCCUGGUAGUCCACGCCGUAAACGAUGAGUGCUAAGUGUUAGGGGGUUUCCGCCCCUUAGUGCUGCAGCUAACGCAUUAAGCACUCCGCCUGGGGAGUACGACCGCAAGGUUGAAACUCAAAGGAAUUGACGGGGACCCGCACAAGCGGUGGAGCAUGUGGUUUAAUUCGAAGCAACGCGAAGAACCUUACCAAAUCUUGACAUCCUUUGACAACUCUAGAGAUAGAGCUUUCCCCUUCGGGGGACAAAGUGACAGGUGGUGCAUGGUUGUCGUCAGCUCGUGUCGUGAGAUGUUGGGUUAAGUCCCGCAACGAGCGCAACCCUUAAGCUUAGUUGCCAUCAUUAAGUUGGGCACUCUAAGUUGACUGCCGGUGACAAACCGGAGGAAGGUGGGGAUGACGUCAAAUCAUCAUGCCCCUUAUGAUUUGGGCUACACACGUGCUACAAUGGACAAUACAAAGGGCAGCGAAACCGCGAGGUCAAGCAAAUCCCAUAAAGUUGUUCUCAGUUCGGAUUGUAGUCUGCAACUCGACUACAUGAAGCUGGAAUCGCUAGUAAUCGUAGAUCAGCAUGCUACGGUGAAUACGUUCCCGGGUCU
rnacentral:rRNA from 1 species